AGAUUUUUAUUUAUUUGAAAAAUAAAAUUGAAGCUGCUAACUUUAAUUGGGGAUUUUUUAUUCCAUUUUUCU
rnacentral:tRNA from 1 species